AAUUUCUAUUCUAAUUUUUUUGUACAGUUUUUAGAAAUUACCAAAAUGUGUAAGGAUGAUAGAUUUGUUUCCAUAUUUCUCGGCGCAUGGAACUUGCUCCUGGGGCCAUGCUGCUUACUUCUUUCCCUGGUCUGCAUAAGCAAACGCAAGUCGACGCAGGGACUCCGGGUCUACGAUCCUGAUUAUGCCUGGUUUUUGUAUUGUUGCGUUCUGUUUAUUACUUCAAUAAUACACAUUCUGAGCGGGGUUUUGAUACUGCUUGGCAUGAAAUGGGAGAACAGCAAAAUGUUCUUUGUGGGAAUAGUUUUGGGCAAUUUCUUGCCCUUUGCGCUGCUGUUCACCAUCAUUAUACCAAUUAUACAAAUCAUUUUGAUGCUUGGAGCGCUCAGAUACUACAAAUCGAACUGGGAAUAGUUUCAUGGAACACUUGACAUUAAAACUAUUUAUUAAAUUUCAAAAUUCGUUUGCGAGGCCCCCUAAAUUAUCAGUACAAAAUAAAGAACAAUAGCCUUCGAUAAAUCUCUCAUUAAUCAUAGAAAAUUUUAGAAAUAAACACAGAUAGAAUUUACCAAAAUUUGCCAAAAUGUGUUGUGAAAGUUGUGAAAGUUGUGAAAAUUGGAAAUUUGUUUCCUUUUUUUUUGGAGCAUGGAACAUUAUUUGCGGCAUAUUAAUUUUCAUUUAUUCAACAAUCGAUAAUGUUAGAUCUGAAUCUCCGAUACAGGAGGGGGGACAUAUCAACGCUAAACGUAUUUUCCUUUGGGUUGUGUUAUUUACUGCCAUUAUACACAUUCUGAGCGGGGCGUUGAUACUGACUGGCUUAUGGAUGGACAAGAAAUUGUAUUUCCUGGUGGGGCUAAUUCUGAGUAAUAUCAUGCCCCUUGCGACGUUCUUCACCAUAAUUAUACCAGUUGUGCACAUCAUUUGCCUGUUGAAAGCAAUCAGAUAUUACAGGUGGAACUGGGAAUAGAACAUAGAAUGAAAUACUUGAUAUAAAAUCUUUGUCUUAAAAGUCAAAAUUUGUUUGCGUUUCCCCCUUAAAUUACUUGUAUAAAUAAAAAAAAAAUACCAUUCGAUAAAUCUCUCAUUGAUGAUAGAAAAUUUUAGAAAUAAAUACAGAUAGAAUUUCACCAAAAUUUACCAAAAUGUGUUGUGAAGCUUGUGAAAGUUUUACAAAUUGGAAAUCUGUUUCCUUUUUUUUCGGAGUAUGGAACAUUUUUUGCGGCAUAUUAAUUGCCAUUUGUUCAGCAGUCUAUAUGGAGGAACAUAAACGCCCGAUGGGGCGACAUUUCGACGGUAAAUAUUAUUUCCUUAUGGCUGUGUUAAUUACUGCCAUUAUACACAUUCUGAGCGGAGCGUUGAUACUGACUGGCUUAUGGAUGGUGAGUCCCUCGAUGCAGUCGGAGAUUAUCGU